CAAUAUAUGAGGCCGGCGCACGGGUGCGUAACGCGUAUGCAACCUACCUUUUACAGGGGAAUAGCCCAGAGAAAUUUGGAUUAAUGCCCCAUGGUAUAUUUCAGUGGCAUCACUGGAUUAUUAAAGUUCCAACGGUAAAAGAUGGGCAUGCGUCCCAUUAGCUAGAUGGUAAGGUAACGGCUUACCAUGGCUACGAUGGGUAGGGGUCCUGAGAGGGAGGUCCCCCACACUGGUACUGAGACACGGACCAGACUCCUACGGGAGGCAGCAGUGAGGAAUAUUGGACAAUGGGCGCAAGCCUGAUCCAGCCAUGCCGCGUGCAGGAAGAAGCAUCUAUGGUGUGUAAACUGCUUUUGUACGGGAAGAAACACCUCUACGUGUAGAGGCUUGACGGUACCGUAAGAAUAAGGAUCGGCUAACUCCGUGCCAGCAGCCGCGGUAAUACGGAGGAUCCAAGCGUUAUCCGGAAUCAUUGGGUUUAAAGGGUCCGUAGGCGGUUUGGUAAGUCAGUGGUGAAAGCCCAUCGCUUAACGAUGGAACGGCCAUUGAUACUGCCAGACUUGAAUUACUGGGAAGUAACUAGAAUAUGUAGUGUAGCGGUGAAAUGCUUAGAUAUUACAUGGAAUACCAAUUGCGAAGGCAGGUUACUACCAGUUGAUUGACGCUGAUGGACGA
rnacentral:rRNA from 1 species